rnacentral:rRNA from 1 species
AACGAACGUUAGCGGCGCGCCUAACACAUGCAAGUCGAGCGAGAAAGGGGCAACCCCGGUAAAGCGGCGCACGGGUGAGUAACACGUAGGUAAUCUACUCUCGGGUGGAGGAUAACCUUCCGAAAGGAGGGCUAAUACUGCAUGAGACCACGACCUCGAAAGGGGAUGAGGUCAAAGCCGGCCACUGUACACAAGCUGGCGCCUGAGAAUGAACCUGCGGCCCAUCAGCUAGUUGGUAGGUAACGGCCUACCAAGGCGAAGACGGGUAGCUGGUCUGAGAGGAUGAUCAGCCACACUGGAACUGAGACACGGUCCAGACUCCUACGGGAGGCAGCAGUGGGGAAUCUUGCGCAAUGGGCGAAAGCCUGACGCAGCGACGCCGCGUGAGUGAUGAA